CUUAAAGCACAUGAAGAAUAUAUGAAAAAUAACGUGGUCAAAAUAGGAAAACAAAACGAGAAGAAAAGCAAAAGCUGUUGCAUGUAAAAAAGAAUCAACCAUUAAAGGAAACAUUUUUAUUUGCUUACUUAAACUGGUUUUGAUAUGUAAACUGCUCAAACAGAAAUAUGUCAUAAAUAUACAUGUUGUUGUUACAUGUUGAUAUUAUUUUAACAUUUUGUAUUACAUUUUAUUUUGACUGCACAAACACAUGGUAUGUUUUUACACUAUUAUUAUUAUUAUUAUUAUUGCCAUUUAUAUAGCGCCAACAGAUUCCGCAGCGCUUUACAAUAUUACGAGAGGGGGGAGUUUUACUAUAAAUCGGACAAUUACAAGAAAACUUACAGGAACCUAAAGGUUGAAGAGGACCCUGCUCAAACGAGCUUACAUUCUAUAGGAGGUGGGGUGUAAAACACAAUAGGACAGGAAUUCACAGUCAAAUAAGGUGGGAGUGAGGCAGAGCUGGAGGAGAGCAGGUUGAAGAGGACCCUGCUCAAACGAGCUUACAUUCUAUAGGAGGUGGGGUGUAAAACACAAUAGGACAGGAAUUCGCAGUCAAAUAAGGUGGGAGUGAGGCAGAGCUGCCCUUUAGGAGAGAGCAAGAGACAGGUAUGUAAGGUAGAUGUUACUCUGAAAGUCCAUAAGCUUUCCUAAAAAGAUGGGUUUUAAGGCCCUUGAAGACUAGGGGAGAGUCUGAUGGCGGUAGGCAGGCUACAAGAAGUCCUUCCAUAAGAAGGGAGCAGCCCACAAGAAGUCCUGCAAGCUUGAGUUGGCUGUACGGGUGCGAACAACGGACAGGAGAAGGUCAGGGCAGAGCCUGGAGACCAAGAAGGGACAUACUAUGGAUUUGUGAGGAGAUAUAAGAGGGGCUAGAAUUGUUCAGUGCUUUAUAGGUGUGAAUUAGUACCUUGAAUUGACUCCUAAGGGAUACAGGAAGCCAAUGUAAGUACUGACAGAGGGGUGAGGUGUGAGAGAACCGACUAGAGAGGAAAAUCAGUCUGGCGGCAGCAUUCAUUAUGGACUGUAGUGGUGCAGUAGGGCUUUUGGGAAGACCAAUCAGGAGAGGGUUAAAAUAAUCCAUGUGGGAAAUUACUAGAGCAUGGACAAGCUCCUUGGUAGCAUCUUGCGUAAGAAAGGGGCAGAUGCGGGCUAUGUUUUUAAGAUUGAAUCUACAGGAUUUGGCAACAUACUGGAUGUGAGGCUCAAAGGUGAGGCCAGAAUCAAGUAUGAUGCCAAGACAGUGCGCUUGCAAUGAUGGACUUAUGUGAAUACCACUAACUUGAAGGGAGAGCGAAAGAGGAGGAUCAGUAUUAGGAGGAGGAAAGACAAGGAGCUCAGUUUUAGAGAGAUUGAGUUUCAGAAAGUGGGAGGACAUCCAGUUAGAGAUGGAAGAAAAGCAAGCAGUGACCCGUUGAGAGGUCCAGAUAGCAGAGAUAUAUCUGGGUGUCAUCAGCUUACAGGUGGUAGUGGAAUCCAAAAGAGGUAAUAAGUUUGUCAAGAGAGGCAGUAUAAAGAGAAAAUAGAAGGGGACCAAGGACAGAGCCUUGGGGGACUCCAACCGAGACAGGAUGAGGGGAGGAGGUAACAUUAGAAAAGAAGACACUUAAUGAGCGUUGGGAGAGAUAAGAGGAAAACCACGAGAGGACAGAGUCACAGAGACCGAGUGAUUGAAGAGUUUGAAGAAGGAGCAUGUUCAGAGAGGUCAAGAAGAAUUAGUAUGGAGUAGUGACCUUUGGAUUUUGCUGUGAUUAGGUCGUUAGUAACUUUGAUAAGCGCAGUCUCAGUAGAGUGGAGAGGGCAGAAACCAGAUUGAAGAGGGUCAAGGAGAGAGUUGGAAUUGAGGAAGUGAGACACACGGGUAAAGACAAGUCUUUCCAGAAGCUUUAAGUAAAAAGGGUGAUAGUUAGAGCGGGAGGACGGUUCAAGAGAUGUUUUUUUCAGGAUACGUACUACAGUGGCAUGUUUAAGAUCAGCAGGGACAACGUCAGAAGAGAGAGAGCAGUUGAAGAUGUUCAUUAAGGAAGGCACAAGACAAGUGGAGAGAGAUCUGAUAAGGUGAGAUGGGACAGGAUCGAGCGGGCAAGUAGUAGGGCGAGAGGAAAGGAGACUCUUUUUCAGUAGCCGGGGGGAAAGUCUGAAGGGUAGGAAAUGCAUGAUCUACGUGUGGUUGAGAAAGAGAAUGGCAAGGAAGGGAGAAUUCUUUCCUUAGCUCUUCAAUCUUGUCGGUAAAUUAACAUGCAAAGCUAUAGGCAGUAAGGUUAGUCUGGGGGGUGGCCAUAGCAGAGCGAAGAAGAGAACUAAAUUGUCAAAGAGAUGCCUGGGAUUGCGGGAGCAUGAACGAAUGAGAGAGGAAAAGGAGGACUGUUUGGCAAGGGCAAGGGCUGCGCUGUAACAACACAAUAUGAAUCUAUCAUGUAGAAAGUCUGACUGGGUGCGAGACUUCCUCCAGGAGUGUUCAGCAUAACGGGAGCAUCUUUGCAGGUAGCGUGUUGAUUUAGUAUGCCACGGUUGGGUGCGUAUCCUCCUUGAGGUGCUUGUUUGGAGCGGGGCUGCAGCGUUCAAGGCAGAGGUGAGGGUAGUGCUAUAUGUGGUGAUGGCCAGUGAGGGACAGGAGAGGGAAGGGAUGGAUAGCAGUUGUGAAUCAAUAUCAGCUUACAGCUGCUGGAGGUCAAGAGAACCUUGACAUGAAUAAGCACUAUCAUAUAUUGUUUAAAAAUAUAUAAGGGAAUUCAUAAAGAAUGAAAUUGACACAGAUGCUUUACACUGUUUGUAGCUUUAGAAAGUCUAUAAAAUAAUGAUGCCAUAUUUAU
rnacentral:lncRNA from 1 species